rnacentral:rRNA from 1 species
AGGCCUAACACAUGCAAGUCGAACGGUAACAGGAAGCAGCUUGCUGCUUCGCUGACGAGUGGCGGACGGGUGAGUAAUGUCUGGGAAACUGCCUGAUGGAGGGGGAUAACUACUGGAAACGGUGGCUAAUACCGCAUAACGUCGCAAGACCAAAGAGGGGGACCUUCGGGCCUCUUGCCAUCAGAUGUGCCCAGAUGGGAUUAGCUAGUUGGUGAGGUAACGGCUCACCAAGGCGACGAUCCCUAGCUGGUCUGAGAGGAUGACCAGCCACACUGGAACUGAGACACGGUCCAGACUCCUACGGGAGGCAGCAGUGGGGAAUAUUGCACAAUGGGCGCAAGCCUGAUGCAGCCAUGCCGCGUGUAUGAAGAAGGCCUUCGGGUUGUAAAGUACUUUCAGCGGGGAGG